UGGGGAAUAUUGGACAAUGGGCGCAAGCCUGAUCCAGCCAUGUCGCGUGUGUGAAGAAGGCCUUUUGGUUGUAAAGCACUUUAAGCGAGGAGGAGGCUACUUGGAUUAAUACUCUAGGAUAGUGGACGUUACUCGCAGAAUAAGCACCGGCUAACUCUGUGCCAGCAGCCGCGGUAAUACAGAGGGUGCGAGCGUUAAUCGGAUUUACUGGGCGUAAAGCGUGCGUAGGCGGCUUUUUAAGUCGGAUGUGAAAUCCCUGAGCUUAACUUAGGAAUUGCAUUCGAUACUGGGAAGCUAGAGUAUGGGAGAGGAUGGUAGAAUUCCAGGUGUAGCGGUGAAAUGCGUAGAGAUCUGGAGGAAUACCGAUGGCGAAGGCAGCCAUCUGGCCUAAUACUGACGCUGAGGUACGAAAGCAUGGGGAGCAAACAGG
rnacentral:rRNA from 1 species